rnacentral:rRNA from 1 species
GACGAACGCUGGCGGCGUGCUUAACACAUGCAAGUCGAACGGAAAGGCCCUGCUUGCAGGGUGCUCGAGUGGCGAACGGGUGAGUAACACGUGGGUGAUCUGCCCCUUACUUUGGGAUAAGCCUGGGAAACUGGGUCUAAUACUGGAUAGGACCAUGCUGUAGGUGGUGUGGUGGUAAGAUUAGUUUCGGUAAGGGGUGAGCUCGCGGCCUAUCAGCUUGUUGGUGGGGUAAUGGGCUACCAAGGCGUCGACGGGUAGACGGCCGGAGAGGGUGGACGGCGACAUUGGGACUACGGUACGGCCCAGACUCCUACGGGGGGCAGCAGUGGGGAAUAUUGCAGAAUGGGGGCAAGCCGGAUGCAGCGACGCCGCGGGGGGGAUGACGGCCUUCGGGUUGUAAACUCCUUUCAGCCAUGACGAGGCCCUGGUGGUGACGGUAGUGGUAGAAGAAGCACCGGCUAACUACGUG